rnacentral:rRNA from 1 species
UGGUGGAGUGAUUUGUCUGGUUAAUUCCGUUAACGAACGAGACCUCGACCUGCUAAAUAGCACCAUGAUGGUUACAUCGUGCGUGGCUUCUUAGAGGGACUUUGGGUUAGUAGCCUAAGGAAGUUCGAGGCAAUAACA